rnacentral:rRNA from 1 species
GAUGAACGCUGGCGGCGUGCCUAAUACAUGCAAGUCGAGCGAACGGACGAGAAGCUUGCUUCUCUGAUGUUAGCGGCGGACGGGUGAGUAACACGUGGAUAACCUACCUAUAAGACUGGGAUAACUUCGGGAAACCGGAGCUAAUACCGGAUGAUAUUUUGAACCGCAUGGUUCAAAAGUGAAAGACGGUCUUGCUGUCACUUAUAGAUGGAUCCGCGCUGCAUUGCCAGUUGGUAAGGUAACGGCUUACCAAGGCAACGAUGCAUAGCCGACCUGAGAGGGUGAUCGGCCACACUGGAACUGAGACACGGUCCAGACUCCUACGGGAGGCAGCAGUAGGGAAUCUUCCGCAAUGGGCGAAAGCCUGACGGAGCAACGCCGCGUGAGUGAUGAAGGUCUUCGGAUCGUAAAACUCUGUUAUUAGGGAAGAACAUAUGUGUAAGUAACUGUGCACAUCUUGACGGUACCUAAUCAGAAAGCCACGGCUAACUACGUG